UGCCUUUUAUUCUGCUUCUG
rnacentral:sRNA from 1 species